UUCGAGAUUCGACUAGUGUGACGGUGUGACUAAUGACUCGUGUGAUUUCGUCCGUAAUUCGAGAAACUCGAAAGUAAGAAUUGACAUUGCUUUUAGCUCAGCAACUCUUAUUAGCCUCUUUCUAGAUGUAGUCAUUGUAGUGAGCCAUUCAGAUUAUAUAAUUUAUGUAAUGCCAAUAUCCUGACCAGACCACCUAAGAAACAUUUUUUUCUGUGGUAGCCUUCCUUGCUUUGCCUGUUUUCAAUUGGAUUCCAGUUGGGCAAAUCCAACAACUAUAAGAAAGAGAUACACCAUAUCCACGAAAAGUUAAUUCCAAACUUUGCCUCUUAUCAAAGCUGUGUCACGUGUGCCAAGAUUUGUUAAAAAGGAUUUUGAUGUGGAUUCCUCUGUUUAGUAGAAACAUCAACUUUUUGUUGUGAGGCUUGGUGUAUCAUCUAGGUAUGAAGCUACUAUGUGCUCACUUUUCUCCGAGUUCAGCAACCUUUACAUCAAUGAUCACAACUGGAUAUUCAAUUGGGUAUUAUUGCGUAAUAAUACUUUGAUUGUGUUACUAAUGUCGACUUGAAGCAGAACCGUCAACAAAAUUUGAACCAUCGGUCAUCUCGCUCUUAAAACGUCCUCGCCCAGAGCUCCAGUAUCUUGUGGUGUGCAGCUACAUCCAGCUGCGACGUUAGUGGAGAUGAUCUUUUCAGGCUCCCGAACAAACGAUUUCGUCGAUGGUGACGACAACAUUUCCCAGUGGAUGAUCGUUUUCUACAGUUUUGUUUUCCACUUUGAAAGGACAAACCGUUUGGGAAUGUCGACCGAGUUCCUGCAGUUCGUCCACGAUGGAAACCAUGCGAUACUGGACCACGUUGUCUUCUUCUUCAGGCUGCCCAAGUUGACCGGAACCAGUUGCGGCAGUGCUUGGUAGGACGCAGCAAUGAGCUGCAGAAACGUAAAAGAUUAAAAGGCAAGAUCCACAAAGAAAUGCUACACAGAAGUUCCCUGGUCGAUUUGUCAAAAGUUUCAUUCUUAUCACACGAAGAGAUAUAGUUCUAACCCAUUGUUGGUCGAUGGUGUGAAGCUGUAACCAAUUCCGCUGCACGGCCCACCCAGAAAGCCUACCUCAGAUAAAUGACAUGAAUGAAUAUUCAGCUUUAGAUGGGAACUCCAACAACUUCUGCGAUCCUCCUAAUCCUUUCCAUCUACCCGACUUUGACACCGGGACCACCUAUUAUUGCCGACUUCUAAUGGUACUUCCGGACUUCCGGUAAUCCGCCACAGCUCGACCGGCUUUCAGUAUUAAGCCCACAUCCGAGACUCUAUACAAUUGACGAAUCCAUCGUGAAACGUGCAUUAGAAAACCGGGUCCGUUUUGCGCCCAACACAGAUGAUUCUCGGAGCGUUGCGCCUAUAAACGAGAAUGACAGAGACCUUUUAAUUUCAAGGGAGAUGGAUUAUUUGAAAAUGUCCAUUAGAAAAAAACUAAGAAACCGCUGGGAGGAAAUACCGAUCCGGCGAACAGUGCUCCUCUUUCCCGUUGCCAGGCAACAAUUUCUUCCACGCUGCUCGUCUACUGAAAAGGAGAAUGCGUUGAAUAGUAAAUUGAUGUGCGGAUGAAGACGAUUUCGUGCUAGUCGGGGAUGCAAUAGAUUUAUCUAACCGAAGCCUUUCAAAAUGGCGACGACGUUACAAAUUGUGAUUGACGUGUCGCCUGUCGCCGUUCUCAACAUAUUUUAGGAUUUUUCGUUUUUUCCACGAGAUGGAGUGGAUUUGGAGGAAGAUCUGUAUUUACCUGUUUUAGUACUGGUGUGAUGUGUGACAGUUGGUUUUUCUUGACUAAUUUUUUUCUUGAAUUCAAGUUUGUACCAGUAAAAUUUAAUGAUAUAGACUGUUUUUAUUUGUGUUAA
rnacentral:lncRNA from 1 species